ensembl:lncRNA
GAGCUACCUCCGGCUCCUUUCGGCUCUCGUCUGUUCUUCCGGUGGCAAUGGCUGCGGCCGUGGCUGGGGUACUGCGAGGUGGUCUCCUGCCCCAGGCGGGCUGGCUGCCCACCCUCCAGACCGUGCGCCACGGCUCCAAGGGUGACCCGACACUGGCGUGUCAUGCACUACCAGCGGCAGAAGCUGAUGGCUGUGACUGAGUACAUCCCACCCCCCUGCCCGCUGUGAGCCCGAGAUGCCUGCCGCCUCCCCCAAGCCCCCCAGGGAGGAAUCAGGCCUCAUCCGGGUCCUCCGGCGGGAGAUAGCAGCAGUUUUUCCGGGACCACCGAGAUGAUAGCCGUCUGCCAGAAUGUAAUGGGCCAUCAGCGGUGAGGACAAGCUCCUCAUGCGGCACCAGCUGCGAAAACACAAGAUCUUGGUGAAGAUCUUCCCCAACCAGGUCCUGAAGCCCUUUCUAGAGGAUUCCAAAUACAAAAGCCUGCUGCCCCUGUUCGUGGGGCACAACAUGCUGUUGGUCAGCGAGGAGCCCAAAGUCAAGGAGAUGGUGCGGAUCCUGAAGAUGAUGCCCUUCCUGCCACUGCUAGGAUCUCCUUAGGUAGUCCAGGCUGGCCUUGAUUCACGGCAGUCCUCCUGCCUGGGCCUCCUGAGUGCAGGCAUGACAGACCUGCACCACCACAAUGGACAAUAUUAGUUGUGUUUAUGAUGUAUAAUCAUCACCCCCAUCCAUUUUCAUAAUUCCAUCUUAUAAAACUGAAACCUCUGUACCCACCAAAAAAUAACUUCCUGUUUCUUUCCUCUACUACAGGAUUCUGUCUUCCAAAAAGUUUAGGGCUGGGGAUUUAGCUCAGUGGCACUGUGCCUGCCUCGGAAGCACAGGGUCCUAAGUUCGAUCCCCAGUACCAAAAAAAGUUUAGUGAGCCGGGCGUGGUGGCACAUGCCUCUAGGCCCAGCACUCUGGGAGGUUGAAGCAAGAGAAUCACAGCUUUGAGCCCAGCCUAAGGUGACUUAGUGAGAACUUGUUCAAAAAAAAAAAGGUGGGUGGAGGGAAUGUAGCCCAGUGCACAGGUCCUUGGAUGAGAAGAAAAGACAGGAAACACUGGCUUAUGGGGAGCUGGGGCCAGGUGAUGUGUUAGGCAAGUUUUGGAGAGAAGCAGAGGGGGUUGAUCCCCGACAGUGGAGAUGGGAUGGGCUAUAAGCGGAGCUGAGUUCUGGGCAGGUUGGUGGGGGCGGGUAGAGUUGGGGUGCUAUGUUAGUAGGGAGCCCAGCUGAGCCUGUGUCUUGCAGGUGGCUGCAUCGAUGACACCAUCCUGAGCAGCCAGGGCUUCCCUGAACUACGCCAAGCUGCCCAGCCAGGCCCUGCUGCAGGGCUAGCAGCUGUUAGGAGGACUCAGCUUCCUGCUGGCCCAGACCCACACCCUGCUCCAGCGCCAGCCCAUGCAGCUCACUGCCCUAUUGGAUCAGCACAUCAGACAGCAGCAGGAGGGGGACUCGCCAGGACAGCCAGUGAGAAGCCAGACCCUCCCGAGCCGGUUCUGACUCCUAGCCGGCCUGUGCCCCCAGCCCGCCCACAGACACCCCACCCUGACUUGCCGGCCUCUGUCCGAGAUGCCAAGGCGCUCGGGUGGUGCGUGUGACGUGGCUUCCACCCAUAGCCACCUGCACGGGGACAGGACCACUCGAGACAGUGAGGCUGCUGGUCACUAUCUCUCACUAGUUUCCCAUGGGGCCCGGAUGGAAGCAAUCCCUUCCGUUUUCUCCGCCAUGAGGCCAGAGGGCUUCAAAUCUUGCCCUGGUCACCUCCCCUCACCUGCUGUCCCUUGUGGACGUCUCCCCUGCCCACUUUGGGGGCCCAGGCAGCUACAGAACCUCCGCUGAGUGGUGGUGCAGAGUGGCCCUGUGGGGAACCCCCUCUGCUGAGCACGCACAGUCAGUCCCUGACCCUCCCAGUGUCAUACAGGAGAAAUGGACAGAGAACGUCAGUGGACACCCAAGGUCCUGCAGUCCACAGUGGCAGAACAGGGACGCGGCCCAGGCUCUCCGCCCUGAAUCGGGUCACCUGCGUGAUCCUGGGUAGCUUGGAGGUCACCACCCUGCCCUCGGGGGGCCCUGUGGUGGACGGUGCGUGGUGAUAAAUGGAUUGUACGAAGGA